rnacentral:rRNA from 1 species
GACGAACGCUGGCGGCGUGCUUAACACAUGCAAGUCGAACGGAAAGGCCUGCUUUCCCUUGUGGAUUUCGGGUACUCGAGUGGCAAACGGGUGAGUAACACGUGAGUUAUCUGCCCCCAACUUGGGUAUAAGCCUGGGAAACUGGGUCUAAUUCCCGAUAGCACUGCAGGGUGGUGCCUGUGGUGGAAAACGAUUUUCUAGUGGUUGGGGAUGAGCUCGCGGCCUAUCAGCUUGUUGGUGGGGUAAUGGCCUACCAAGGCGGCGACGGGUAGCCGGCCUGAGAGGGUGGACGGCCACAUUGGGACUGAGAUACGGCCCAGACUCCUACGGGAGGCAGCAGUGGGGAAUAUGGCACAAUGGGCGGAAGCCUGAUGCAGCGACGCCGCGUGGGGGAUGACGGCCUUCGGGUUGUAAACUCCUUUCGACCGCGAGGAAGCCACCUGGUUGGAAGGGUGGUGACGGUAGUGGUAGAAGAAGCACCGGCUAACUACGUG